GAUGAACGCUAGCGGCAGGCCUAAUACAUGCAAGUCGAACGGUAGAUCGGGUAGCAAUACUUGAUUGAGAGUGACGUAAGGGUGCGUAACACGUAUGCAAUCUACCCUCAACAGGAGUAUAGCUCGGGGAAACUCGGAUUAACACUCCAUAACAUUACGAUGUGGCAUCACAUUGUGAUUAAAACUCCGGUGGUUGAGGAUGAGCAUGCGUCUGAUUAGUUAGUUGGAGGUGUAACGGACCCCCAAGACGAUGAUCAGUAGGGGAACUGAGAGGUUGAUCCCCCACACUGGCACUGAGAUACGGGCCAGACUCCUACGGGAGGCAGCAGUAGGGAAUAUUGGUCAAUGGGUGAGAGCCUGAACCAGCCAUGCCGCGUGCAGGAAGACGGCCUUCUGGGUUGUAAACUGCUUUUAUCUGGGGAUAAAAAGCCCAUGCGUGGGACAUUGAAGGUACCAGAUGAAUAAGCACCGGCUAACUACGUCG
rnacentral:rRNA from 1 species